rnacentral:tRNA from 1 species
GUCCGGAUUGCUCAGUGGGUAGAGCAUCAGACUUUUAAUCUGUGGGUCCAGGGUUCACGUCCCUGUUUGGGCG